CUGGUCGGACAUCAGGAGGUUAGUGCAAUGGCAUAAGCCAGCUUGACUGCGAGCGUGACGGCGCGAGCAGGUGCGAAAGCAGGUCAUAGUGAUCCGGUGGUUCUGAAUGGAAGGGCCAUCGCUCAACGGAUAAAAGGUACUCCGGGGAUAACAGGCUGAUACCGCCCAAGAGUUCAUAUCGACGGCGGUGUUUGGCACCUCGAUGUCGGCUCAUCACAUCCUGGGGCUGAAGUAGGUCCCAAGGGUAUGGCUGUUCGCCAUUUAAAGUGGUACGCGAGCUGGGUUUAGAACGUCGUGAGACAGUUCGGUCCCUAUCUGCCGUGGGCGCUGGAGAACUGAGGGGGGCUGCUCCUAGUACGAGAGGACCGGAGUGGACGCAUCACUGGUGUUCGGGUUGUCAUGCCAAUGGCACUGCCCGGUAGCUAAAUGCGGAAGAGAUAAGUGCUGAAAGCAUCUAAGCACGAAACUUGCCCCGA
rnacentral:rRNA from 3 species